CCUAUACUCUAUCAUCUUGCUUACACUCUUUCUAAAUGGUACAAAGCAUGGGUUGUGAUUUGAUAGAAGGUAUGGAUCAUAUGAGAGUGUAUGUGUGUGUUCGUGGCUAUAAAAGGGAGCCUUGGAUCCUCAUGUUCCUCACAAAACUUCCAGCUAUCUUCUCUUCCUCCAAAACGUCCCUAUCUCUCUCUAAAACCACCUUCCAUCUCUUUCCCGGUUUACCACCAAGAACACCCAAAAACCACCAUCCUAACACCACCAAUUCACCAUCAUUCUACUACCUUAACCUUCCUUAUAACCCCUUGUUCAUGAACACAUACCUAGCCUCCUUACCUCACUAUUUUGCAUAUCAAAAGGAGGAAGAGACACGAAGUCAGCCACCACGCUGCCACCCAUCGCCACCUCCUGUUUAUUUUUUUUGCUGCCGCUGAAACUAAAUAAAUCUUGACGGUUCGUUAUCAAAGCGACACUUCUCGGUUUCUCGCAUCAAAUACUCGAAACAAAUCAUCAACCACCCUUUAAGGUGAGUGUUACGGCCCCACUUUUACAUAUUUUCGUGGAGGGGAAUACAUGUAGUACUUGUAUAUCUAGUAUAUAUCUAUUUUCUAAAUACUUUGUUUAAACAUACAACACUGCCGUUUUUAUGCAAUAUAAUUCACAAAAAAAAUAUUGUUUAUCACGCUACUACUUACGGUACGUGUAGUAAGUAAUAUUUACCAUACAAAAUACACACAAAAAAAAUAUCAUUGUUUUGUGUAAAUACUUUACCAGUUUUAGAAAUAAUUGUUUAAACGCUUACAUGUUAAGUAAACAAAAUCGUUUUAAACCUCAAUACUUUUAUAUGUUUUUUUGUUAAGAUAAUACGAUUAAUAAAAAUAUCAUAUACGUUCCGACAAAAAUUGUGCUAAAACUGUAUAGUCGGUUAUCAACUUGGUAGUCAAAUUAUACCUCAUACAUACAUAGAAAAAUAUAAGUUUAUAUAGUUAUAAAUGUAUUGUACUCUUCAAUGUGUACGCUUAUCAAAUAUACUUGUCAAUUACCUGUUUAUCCGUAUCUGUGGUUGUUAAGUUCAACCUUGGCAGAUAACUUCAUCCGUAUAUCCGUAUGUCUGGUUCUGACAAAAAUAUAUAGGUUUAUACGUUUAUACAAGUUAUAGAACUUGUAUCUUAGGCUCAUACAUGUGCUUGUGUACACUAUACUAAGUUUGUCAACUGUUUAAACAAGUAUCGUACACUUUAUAUGUAUGAUUAUCAAGUAUACUUGUUGUUUAUCCGUAUCUGUGAUUAUUAAGUUCAACCUUGGCAGAUAAUUUUAUCCGUAUAUCCGUAUGUUUGUUUAUCCGUAUCUGCGGUUGUGAAUUACAACCUUGGCAGAAAACUUUCUUCGUUACCCGUACAACUAUGGAUUUGGUUGCUUUCAAACAAAAUUUUAAGUAUGGAAUUAUUUAUGGAACAUAACGUUUUGGCUUCAAAGAUUCAUUUCAAACACAAUUUUAAGUAUGGGAUUACUUAUGGAACAUAACGUUUUGGCUUCAAAGAUUCAUUACAAACACAGUUUUAAGUAUGGAAUUACUUAUGAAACAUAACAUUUUGGCUUUCAAAGAUUCAUUACAAACACAGUUUUACGUAUGGGUUUACUUAUACAAACUAUACAUUUUGUCUUUUAAAGACUCAUUGCAAACACUGUUUAACUGUUGUUAUACAUACAAAGAUAAUACUUUUUAGACAUACUAAAAGUAUUACUGCGUUAGCAGAAAACCUGUGACACUCACCAACCUUUGUGUUGACUUUCAAACUUACAUGUAUUCUUAGGGGAUCAUCAGACAGGCUUUCAGGAAGAAGAUUAGUCGUGGAUUGCAGACGAUCUAGCUAGCUUGUUCCUGUUAUUUGUUUAUCUGUUAAAGGCAACUAAUGUACUAUUAUUAUCUGUAAGAACCCUGUAUUCAAACUUAAUGAUGGAAUACAAAUGCUAUUUUGUU